rfam:Habropoda laboriosa contig7196, whole genome shotgun sequence.
GGAGCGAUUGGCGUAGCGCGCUAAGCCUCGGCUUGCUAAGCCGAAGGUCCCGGGUUCGAUUCCCGUUGGGUCCC